GACGAACGCUGGCGGCGUGCUUAACACAUGCCAGUCGAACGGAAAGGCCCUGCUUUUGUGGGGUGCUCGAGUGGCGAACGGGUGAGUAACACGUGAGUAACCUGCCCUUGACUUUGGGAUAACUUCAGGAAACUGGGGCUAAUACCGGAUAGGAGCUCCUGCUGCAUGGUGGGGGUUGGAAAGUUUCGGCGGUUGGGGAUGGACUCGCGGCUUAUCAGCUUGUUGGUGGGGUAGUGGCUUACCAAGGCUUUGACGGGUAGCCGGCCUGAGAGGGUGACCGGCCACAUUGGGACUGAGAUACGGCCCAGACUCCUACGGGAGGCAGCAGUGGGGAAUAUUGCACAAUGGGCGGAAGCCUGAUGCAGCAACGCCGCGUGCGGGAUGACGGCCUUCGGGUUGUAAACCGCUUUCGCCUGUGACGGAGCGUGAGUGGCGGUAAUGGGUAAAGAAGCACCGGCUAACUACGUG
rnacentral:rRNA from 1 species